rnacentral:lncRNA from 1 species
UAUAAGAAGAAACUGUCGAUAAUAUUUUUCAUGUUUUAUUUCAUUUCACUUGCAUCAUCUUAAAGUACAAAACUAUCAAGAUACGUGAAAUUAGAAAAGCUAAAAGAAAAUUCACUCAAUGAGUGAUCACAAUAACUAAAUAAGAACUCAUGAAAAAUUAUUCAUGUUGUGCAUUUGUGUAUUCUUUUGGGUUUGACAAUCAUAUAAUCUUUCGAGCUUUAUAAUUAGCCUAUACACAAUAACCAUUACGACACUUCAUUCUUCUAGGAGAUUUGCUAUUCAAGGAGGGGGUGGAAGUUACACAAUCACGAUCAGUAACACAUGGAACGGGAACUAUAAUUUAAAAAGAGAGAAAAACAAAGUUACUAAAUGGAAUAAAAUAUAAUAUAAGAAAUAAAAAUGGAAAUUUGAAAAGGAGAUAAACUGGUUUACCAUAAACCUGACUUUGUGUUGAAACAAAUAAUAGAGAAAGAAUGAUUAUCAUAACAUUAACAAACUUGAAAAUUUUAU